UACGUAGGGAGCGAGCGUUAUCCGGAUUUAUUGGGUGUAAAGGGUGCGUAGACGGGAAGUUAAGUUAGUUGUGAAAUCCCUCGGCUCAACUGAGGAACUGCAACUAAAACUGGCUUUCUUGAGUGUUGGAGAGGAAAGCGGAAUUCCUAGUGUAGCGGUGAAAUGCGUAGAUAUUAGGAGGAACACCAGUGGCGAAGGCGGCUUUCUGGACAAUAACUGACGUUGAGGCACGAAAGUGUGGGGAGCAAACA
rnacentral:rRNA from 1 species